rnacentral:rRNA from 1 species
CACGUAGGGCGCAAGCGUUGUCCGGAAUUAUUGGGCGUAAAGAGCUCGUAGGCGGUCUGUUGCGUCCGCUGUGAAAACUCGGGGGCUUAACCCCCGAGCCUGCAUGUGGAUACGGGGCAGACUAGAGGUAGGUAGGGGGAGAAGUGAAUUCCUGGUGUAGCGGUGAAAUGCGCAGAUAUCAGGAGGAACACCGGUGGCGAAGGCGGUUCUCUGGGCAUGUCCUGACGUGAGGAGCGAAAAGUGUGGGGGAGCGAACAGG